UAACGACGUAUUACUUGCUUUAAACGACGUUUCUCGCUUAAAUACAUAUGUUAUGCUUAGGUUUCUUUAUGUUUAACGACGUAUUACUUGCUUUAAACGACGUUUCUCGCUUAAAUACAUAUGUUAUGCUUAGGUUUCUUUAUGUUUAACGACGUAUUACUUGCUUUAAACGACGUUUCUCGCUUAAAUACAUAUGUUAUGCUUAGGUUUCUUUAUGUUUAACGACGUACUACUUGCUUUAAACGACGUUUCUCGCUUAAAUACAUAUGUUAUGCUUAGGUUUCUUUAUGUUUAACGACGUAUUACUUGCUUUAAACGACGUUUCUCGCUUAAAUACAUAUGUUAUGCUUAGGUUUCUUUAUGUUUAACGACGUAUUACUUGCUUUAAACGACGUUUCUCGCUUAAAUACAUAUGUUAUGCUUAGGUUUCUUUAUGUUUAACGACGUAUUACUUGCUUUAAACGACGUUUCUCGCUUAAAUACAUAUGUAUUACACACGUUUCCAUAUGUUUAACGACGUAUUACUUGCUUUAAACGACGUUUCUCGCUUAAAUACAUAUGUUAUGCUUAGGUUUCUUUAUGUUUAACGACGUAUUACUUGCUUUAAACGACGUUUCUCGCUUAAAUACAUAUGUUAUGCUUAGGUUUCUUUAUGUUUAACGACGUAUUACUUGCUUUAAACGACGUUUCUCGCUUAAAUACAUAUGUUAUGCUUAGGUUUCUUUAUGUUUAACGACGUAUUACUUGCUUUAAACGACGUUUCUCGCUUAAAUACAUAUGUUAUGCUUAGGUUUCUUUAUGUUUAACGACGUAUUACUUGCUUUAAACGACGUUUCUCGCUUAAAUACAUAUGUUAUGCUUAGGUUUCUUUAUGUUUAACGACGUAUUACUUGCUUUAAACGACGUUUCUCGCUUAAAUACAUAUGUAUUACACACGUUUCCAUAUGUUUAACGACGUAUUACUUGCUUUAAACGACGUUUCUCGCUUAAAUACAUAUGUUAUGCUUAGGUUUCUUUAUGUUUAACGACGUAUUACUUGCUUUAAACGACGUUUCUCGCUUAAAUACAUAUGUAUUACACACGUUUCCAUAUGUUUAACGACGUAUUACUUGCUUUAAACGACGUUUCUCGCUUAAAUACAUAUGUAUUACACACGUUUCUAUAUGUUUAACGACGUAUUACUUGCUUUAAACGACGUUUCUCGCUUAAAUACAUAUGUAUUACACACGUUUCCAUAUGUUUUACGACGUAUUACUUGCUUUAAACGACGUUUCUCGCUUAAAUACAUAUGUAUUACACACGUUUCCAUAUGUUUUACGACGUAUUACUUGCUUUAAACGACGUUUCUCGCUUAAAUACAUAUGUUAUGCUUAGGUUUCUUUAUGUUUAACGACGUAUUACUUGCUUUAAACGACGUUUCUCGCUUAAAUACAUAUGUUAUGCUUAGGUUUCUUUAUGUUUAACGACGUAUUACUUGCUUUAAACGACGUUUCUCGCUUAAAUACAUAUGUUAUGCUUAGGUUUCUUUAUGUUUAACGACGUAUUACUUGCUUUAAACGACGUUUCUCGCUUAAAUACAUAUGUAUUACACACGUUUCCAUAUGUUUUACGACGUAUUACUUGCUUUAAACGACGUUUCUCGCUUAAAUACAUAUGUUAUGCUUAGGUUUCUUUAUGUUUAACGACGUAUUACUUGCUUUAAACGACGUUUCUCGCUUAAAUACAUAUGUAUUACACACGUUUCUAUAUGUUUAACGACGUAUUACUUGCUUUAAACGACGUUUCUCGCUUAAAUACAUAUGUAUUACACACGUUUCUAUAUGUUUAACGACGUAUUACUUGCUUUAAACGACGUUUCUCGCUUAAAUACAUAUGUAUUACACACGUUUCCAUAUGUUUUACGACGUAUUACUUGCUUUAAACGACGUUUCUCGCUUAAAUACAUAUGUAUUACACACGUUUCCAUAUGUUUUACGACGUAUUACUUGCUUUAAACGACGUUUCUCGCUUAAAUACAUAUGUUAUGCUUAGGUUUCUUUAUGUUUAACGACGUAUUACUUGCUUUAAACGACGUUUCUCGCUUAAAUACAUAUGUUAUGCUUAGGUUUCUUUAUGUUUAACGACGUAUUACUUG